rnacentral:lncRNA from 1 species
AUGGCCCUACCCAAACCUCCAGCGCUCCCCACCACCCCCCUGCGCCCUCCGUGCCCCACACACCCGCUCGCCGGGUGCCUCUCACCCCUUGCUUUCGGCCCGAAGGGCGCCCCGCGCUCCCCGUUAUCCGGCAGCCACUUCAUCGUGGCUCCCCACGCCGCGGGGAGCCGGGGCCCCGCCGCACCCCGGGGCCUCUCCCCGCACCUAACGCCCUUCGGGGGAGCCUCGGCGGCGGCCACAACGGCGCCGGCCCCAGGCCCAGCACCGGGCGGCCGUGGGCGUGGUGGCGGGGCCCGCCAGAAGCGCGGCGGGGCCGCGGCCCCCCGCACCGGGGCGAGGGGAGGGGAAGGGAGCGGAGCGGGCACGGCGGGGCCGCCACAAAGCCGCCCCCCGCCGCGCAGGGGGGCCCCGGGGCAGCCCGGCCCGCGGCGGGCACGGCCGCGGGGCAACCGCGCUCCCGUCCCCGCCUCCUCCUCCUCCUCGGCCACAAAAUGGAGCCGGGAGAGGGGGGGGCGCCUCCCGCAGACAGAGGGGGCACCGGCGGGGGCGGCCGUGCCGAGCCCCCCCCCUCCCCACCGCCUUCUCCUCCUCCUCCUGCUGCUCCCCGCCCGCCUCGCUUCGCCUCCCCGCUCGGCUCGGCUCGGCUCCGCUCGGCUCGGCUCCCCGGCGGCGCUCCCCCCGCUCCCCGCGGCCGGCACAAAGCGGCGAGCGGCCGGGCCCCGGGGCUGCUCGCCCCCCACUUCCUGGUCCCCGCGGCGGCGGCGCGGCGGCGGCGCCGGGGCCCGGGGAGGGAGACGGACAUUUCAUUCGAGCCUGCAGUGGAACCGGUUACCAAUCAUUGGCCGGAGCCAGGCACAAACCUCCAGUGCGGCCCUGGUUGGCUCCCUCCGCAAAUCGGCUGUUUGGUUGGACAGAAAAUGGCUGCGAAGGAACCAGUCCCAGCGCGGAGCCCCGCUUCCCGCAGCCGGCCUGCCCUCCCUCCGCGCCGCCUCCCCGCCACGCGCGCCGGCUCUUCCCCUCAGCGCGCUGCCUCCCGCCGGCACGGCUCGGCUCGGCCCGGCCCUGCCCUGCCCGCCUCCUGGUGCCCGGCCCGGGCAGCCUGGGACGCCCCCCCCCCAGAGCUGGGGAGAGGGGCCAUGCUCGCCCCGCACCGCCGCCUUCCUCCCCGCUCGCCUCGGUGUCGGGGCGCUGCUUGCUUACGAGCGUCCUCGCACCCUGUCUUGGCCUCGAUCAGGGCUGCCCCACACCUGCGCCCGGCUUCGUUAG